GCUUAACACAUGCAAGUCGAACGCAACCUUCGGGUUGAGUGGCGGACGGGUGAGUAACGCGUGAGAAUCUGCCUUGGGGUCGGGGACAACCACUGGAAACGGUGGCUAAUACCGGAUAAGCCUUUGGGUAAAAAAUUUAUUGCCCCAAGAGGAGCUCGCGUCUGAUUAGCUAGUUGGUGAGGUAAAAGCUCACCAAGGCAGCGAUCAGUAGCUGGUCUGAGAGGACGAUCAGCCACACUGGGACUGAGACACGGCCCAGACUCCUACGGGAGGCAGCAGUGGGGAAUUUUCCGCAAUGGGCGAAAGCCUGACGGAGCAAGACCGCGUGAGGGAGGAAGGCUCUUGGGUUGUAAACCUCUUUUCUCAGGGAAGAAGCUCUGACGGUACCUGAGGAAUCAGCCUCGGCUAACUCCGUGCCAGCAGCCGCGGUAAUACGGAGGAGGCAAGCGUUAUCCGGAAUUAUUGGGCGUAAAGCGUCCGCAGGUGGCGAUUCAAGUCUGCUGUCAAAGCACGGGGCUUAACUCCGUUAAGGCAGUGGAAACUGAAUAGCUAGAGUGCCGUAGGGGUAGAGGGAAUUCCCGGUGUAGCGGUGAAAUGCGUAGAGAUCGGGAAGAACAUCGGUGGCGAAAGCGCUCUACUGGACGGCAACUGACACUCAGGGACGAAAGCUAGGGGAGCGAAUGGGAUUAGAUACCCCAGUAGUCCUAGCUGUAAACGAUGGAUACUAGGUGUAGCUUGUAUCGACCCGAGCUGUGCCGAAGCUAACGCGUUAAGUAUCCCGCCUGGGGAGUACGCACGCAAGUGUGAAACUCAAAGGAAUUGACGGGGGCCCGCACAAGCGGUGGAGUAUGUGGUUUAAUUCGAUGCAACGCGAAGAACCUUACCAGGGCUUGACAUGUCCGGAAUCCCGGUGAAAGCUGGGAGUGCCUUCGGGAGCCGGACACAGUGGGCAUGGCGUGUCAGCUCGUGUCGUGAGAGUGGGUUAGUCCGCACGAGCGCAACCCUCGUCUUUAGUGCAGCAUUAAGUUGGGCACUCUAGAGAGACUGCCGGUGACAAC
rnacentral:rRNA from 1 species